rnacentral:rRNA from 1 species
UACGGAGGGUGCAAGCGUUAAUCGGAAUUACUGGGCGUAAAGCGUGCGCAGGCGGUUUGUUAAGUCCGCUGUGAAAUCCCCGAGCUCAACUUGGGAAUUGCAGUGGAUACUGGCAAGCUGGGGUAUGGUAGAGGAAGGUGGAAUUCCCGGUGUAGCAGUGAAAUGCGCAGAUAUCAGGAGGAACACCGAUGGCGAAGGCAGCUCGCUGGGACGGUACUGACGCUGAGGCGCGAAAGCGUGGGGAGCAAACAGG